GUUUGCAAUGCGCACUUUUAUCCCCUCGCUUCAAACCACCACCUCAGUUUUUUUCAUCAUCAUUGGCCUGCCUUUUUUUCAGCGCUGUCUUAUUAUCAGCCCUGAUUUGGUAAGUAACUCUAAUGUUUUUUAAUUGAAUUUCGAUAAAUAGUCUUACAUUUGGAACUGGGAAUACAUGUGUACAAUGUGCACAGUGAAUAUUUGUUGUAAAUAGUUUACAAAUCCAAGUAAUUGUAACUUUAGAAGUUGUUGAAUCUGACUUACAACGGUGUAAAGUUAUCAGCGGGUUUCCUGGAAGAACUACAUUUCCCAUAAUGCAUGUUUUCCCGGGAGAUGACGUGGGGGAACGACCAUGAGUUUGAACUGUCUCGUGGAGUCUGAAACGUUCUUUAUGUCUAUGGUCCGAAAGCAUAACGUUAACUUAUCCCUGCUUCCCGGUUUCUGCCGGUUGUUGUUUUCGCUGUUCGCUGGUAAUGCAUGUGAGUAACGUUAUACUUGUUUCAAUAAGUGUCCGCGUUACAUAGUCAAUAUUUUAAGUUGUCGAGCUGUGUGUUUGUGUGCAGCGUGAAUCUAACAAUGCUAAACAACAUAAUGUGAGUGUGUUAUCAUGAUGCUAACAAGGUCUAUGUGUGUAUUUUUUUGUAAGCUCAAGUGUGUGGUUGUGAGAUCAUCAUCUAGAAAUCCUUUUUAAAAGUUCAGAUAUUGGACUUCAAAGAGUGCUACGGAGAGUCAGCGUUUCACCAUCAGACAGUUGGUGUCUGAUAGGAACAACGUGAUGUAAAUAUGAGACGGGAUCUCGUCCUUCGUGCACUUCCUUGGUACCUGCGUGAAGAUGCCUCCAAGUUCUUCAGGACCUGUAAUUCAGGAGAUGGUCCAGACCUCACUGACACUCCAGUGGCUCUCCUGACAGUCGUAACGGAUAACACUACUGAUGCGGCCCUCUUCAGCCCUGAGAGCAUCUGUAUUGUCGUGGAGGAUGAAAUACUUGCGAGUGGUUCCACAAAUCUGGCUGACUCAUUUCUCCUGCUCUUUGGGUACGUCUAUGCACUAGACCUACAGUACCCAAAGAAUCUCGAGCAUUUACAUUUAUACAAAAAGUUGUAAUGUGUCUUGAGGACAACAUUAUAACUACUACUGACGCUGAAGAAUGAUUUGUUCAAUGAGUGAAUCACUCAGAAUGGACUAUUUCUUGAGCUGAGUAUUGAGGACGUUUGUUGUUUUUGCCUCAGAUUUAAGAUGAGACUGUUUGCCUCUUCUACCUCAGACUUGAUUCAUUGAUUGUUAAUGGAUAAAUAUCAAAACAUUGACGUAUUGCCCAGCCCAUGUUUUUGCACAAUUACUUGUUGGAAACGACUGUUCAAUCCAAUGCACUAUACAUGUUUAAUGUUCUGUUACAUAAUGACUACCUUGAUGUUGUCAGUUUAAUGGCAACAGCUGAACUUUGAGUUUUAAAAUAAAACAAAAUGAGUUGCAUCCUUCAAGGUACAGUAAGUGCCAAAAGGUUGUUAAACAGUAUUGAAAGAUCACGCGGUCAUAUGAGACGCAGGCAUCUUUUAACCGUAUACAUAGGUUAAAAUACGGUUGAAAGAUGCCUGUGUCUCAUGUGACCUUGUUAUUUGUACACACUGAUUAUACAAAUCACAACAUAUAAAUAGGAAAAUGUUGGCGUUAUUUUGUCACUUAUUGGGAGAAGUAUGCUAUCUGGAGCCAUUUACUUCCAGUCUUUGUGCUAAGCUAGGGUAGUGUUGUGUGCGUCAGACAGUUACGGCACGCACGGACAUGAAAUGGGUAUGUGUGGACUUAUCUAACUCUGGGUGAUAUGGUAAAGUCACAAAAAGUCAGCGUGUUCCUUUAAAUGGCUCCACAUUCUAAUAGUUUAUUGCUGUUGAGGAUGGAUAAUACUUAGAAUCUUAUAUCAUUUUAUCAUGAAUCCCUUGUGAGUUUUUAUCAUAAUGUUUACUGAAAGAAUGUGAGAUGGAGACCCAAAAUACUGAAUCUACCCUCUGUAGCAAUGACCACUAUCAGAAUAUAGAACUAUUAACACUUAAUGUACUUUAAAACACUUUAUUUCCUUUUAUUUUAAUUCAUGACAAGCACUUUGUGACUGAUCUCCUUUGAUUCUCGUGCCUUUUAAAAAGCA